UACGGUGGGCUCCCUGGCCUGGAUCAUCAACAAUUUAUGCAUAAUAUGCUAUGGACAAUACUAAGAAGGCCAUUCGCAUCAUCUUCCUUGACUUUCGCGAGGCCUUCGAUUUAAUCGACCAUAAUAAGUCACUUCUUAAAAUUGGUGUCAGGCCCGAACUUGAUUGCUUGGUUUGCAUCUUAUCUCCACGGAAGAUUCCAAAUAACAACGUUUCAAGGGGAACAAUCAAUUUUAAAACGAAUCUACGUUGGUGUACCACAGGAAACCAAAUCGGGGCCAAUAUCUUUUAUCCUGAAAAUUAAUGAUCUUCCGAUCCAAACCCGAUAGUGAGACUUCACUCUGCGAAACAUCUGAGGAACAAGAUGUAAUAAAGUUUAUGGACGAUACCACCUCGUAUUAAGUGAUUGAUGCAUCAUCCUUACAUCGGAAAGUCCAAUUGCAAUCUCACAGGGAAUGGGUGGAUAAAGUAAGUUUACCAGAGAUGAGAUGAUGGAACUGAACGAAGGAAAAUAUCGAUGACGAUUUUAAAUAGACGACUAACAAAGAAUAUAUCGUAAAAAAGGCAACGAAGCGAUUACAUUUUUUAAACAUUUUAAGAAGGUACGGAGCACCCAUCGAGGAUCUUUUGAUGUUCUAAUGUACUGUACAGUUAUUCGAUUUGUCCUUGAAUAAGAUGCAAAAGGAUAAUGUAGAAAGAGUUCAGAGAAGGGCUCUUAAUAUAUAUCCUGGUCAUCUGGACAUAGGGACUAUAGUAGCACUGAAUUAAACGUGAGUAAACUGGAAUCCCUGGAAGAACACAGAAACAAAGCAUGUAUACUAAUGAUUAAAGAUUUGAUCGAUCCGAAUCACCGGCUUCAUGAAUUGCUGCCAAAACAAGUAAAAAACGUAAGGAAGAAGGAAACGAGAUUGGAUAAAGACAGAUAACCACUCAAGGCACAUAAUCCGGGUGAUUGACGAGAAACAUCUCACAAAAACGAGGAUGAAAGGCUGGAAAUCUUCGGACAUUGCAGAAACACUUGCAGGACUAGCAACCGCCGGCGUGGCCUCAGCCUCUGGACCAGUUUUCUCC